AGGUUGUGAUGUGGACAUUUCCUCAACAAAUCUUUAAACCUCUCCCAUGCAUCAAAUAAUGAUUUAGUGUCUAACUGUGAAUAUGGUGUAAUCUCUUGAUGCAACUU